CCUACGGGUGGCAGCAGUGGGGAAUCUUGCGCAAUGGGCGAAAGCCUGACGCAGCGACGCCGCGUGAGGGAUGAAGGUCUUCGGCUCGUAAACCUCUGUCAGCAGGGAAGAACGGUCACUGUGCUAAUCAGCAGUGAAUUGACGGUACCUGCUAAGGAAGCACCGGCUAACUCCGUGCCAGCAGCCGCGGUAAUACGGAGGGUGCGAGCGUUAACCGGAAUUACUGGGCGUAAAGCGCUCGUAGGCGGUAUGUUAAGUCCAGUGUGAAAUCCCCGCGCUCAACGUGGGAACUGACUUAGAAACUGGCAAACUGGAGAGUAGGAGAGGAUAGUGGAAUUCCAGGUGUAGGAGUGAAAUCCGUAGAUAUCUGGAGGAACAUCAGGGGCGAAGGCGACUAUCUGGCACAUAACUGACGCUGAGGAGCGAAAGCGUGGGUAGCAAACAGGAUUAGAUACCCGAGUAGUC
rnacentral:rRNA from 1 species